UUUUGCGUACUUCUUGUUUCCUUGGUGGGUUCGCCCACCACUAGGACAAACAUAAACCUUUUGUAAUUGCAAUCAGCGUCAGUAACAAAUUAAUAAUUACAACUUUCAACAACGGAUCUCUUGGUUCUGGCAUCGAUGAAGAACGCAGCGAAAUGCGAUAAGUAGUGUGAAUUGCAGAAUUCAGUGAAUCAUCGAAUCUUUGAACGCACAUUGCGCCCUUUGGUAUUCCAAAGGGCAUGCCUGUUCGAGCGUCAUUUGUACCCUCAAGCUUUGCUUGGUGUUGGGCGUCUUGUCUCUAGCUUUGCUGGAGACUCGCCUUAAAGUAAUUGGCAGCCGGCCUACUGGUUUCGGAGCGCAGCACAAGUCGCACUCUCUAUCAGCAAAGGUCUAGCAUCCAUUAAGCCUUUUUUUCAACUUUUGACCUCGGAUCAGGUAGGGAUACCCGCUGAACUUAAGCAUAUCAAUAA
rnacentral:rRNA from 1 species